ACAUGAAUUAUUAUUACCCAUAUCGACCACUUGAUGCACAAACAAGAGCACCAUUGUAUAACAGGAUAUGUACGCAUUCAGGCUGCUUCCGGCGUGCUGCUAAGUGCAAGGGAGUGGCUCCCCUACCAUCUCUUAUAUUCACAAACAGUGCAUAUUCCCUGAUAUCAAAUCCAACAAAAGAUAUACAUAUAAGAACAAAUGAAAACAGAGAUCUCUAUCCAAAUGAAUCAAAAAAAAGUCAAGCAAUCUUGAAAGAAACAAAAGACCACCAUGAAACAGCAACAGGGCUGAGCGGAUGAAGAAGAAGAAGUAGUCUGCUAAUGAGUGAUGAAGAAGAAGCAGUUGUGGCGGCCGAGAGGAAGGAAAAGGUUAUGGAAUCAGAAGAAGCAGUAGGAGGGUAAAACUGGGUAGAAGAAAUCGGAAGAACUUAAUACGCAGCAA
rnacentral:lncRNA from 1 species